rnacentral:rRNA from 1 species
UACGGAGGGUGCGAGCGUUGUCCGGAAUCACUGGGCGUAAAGGGCGCGUAGGCGGCCUGAUAAGUAGGGGGUGAAAUCCUGCGGCUUAACCGCAGGGCUGCCUUCUAAACUGUCAGGCUCGAGCACAGUAGAGGCAGGGUGGAAUUCCCGGUGUAGCGGUGGAAUGCGUAGAGAUCGGGAAGAACAUCAGUGGCGAAGGCGGCCUGCUGGGCCUGUUGCUGACGCUGAGGCGCGACAGCGUGGGGAGCAAACAGG